GCCGGGCGCGGUGGCGCGUGCCUGUAGUCCCAGCUACUCGGGAGGCUGAGGCUGGAGGAUCGCUUGAGUCCAGGAGUUCUGGGCUGUAGUGCGCUAUGCCGAUCGGGUGUCCGCACUAAGUUCGGCAUCAAUAUGGUGACCUCCCGGGAGCGGGGGACCACCAGGUUGCCUAAGGAGGGGUGAACCGGCCCAGGUCGGAAACGGAGCAGGUCAAAACUCCCGUGCUGAUCAGUAGUGGGAUCGCGCCUGUGAAUAGCCACUGCACUCCAGCCUGGGCAACAUAGCGAGACCCUGUCUCU
rnacentral:SRP_RNA from 1 species